CUGCAGUCAAGCAAAACACUUUAUUGAGAUGAAGUGGCCUGGGUGACUGUACUGGUCUCUUAAACCGCCAACAUACAGUCACUUGGUGACACUAUACUUCAGCCGUAAUCAAAAGGUUAAGUAAUUAAAAAAAAAUAUAUAUAUAUUUAUAUAAAAGAAAAAAAUGUAUAUCCACGAAGUCCACUCAGUCACCCACCCCAGCCCUUAACCAUAGCAGCAAUUAGUACAUUUCCUAAAAUGGGAAACACCGGCCUACCCACAUAACUUACAAGGACCCCAGAGCAGAAGACUUAAAUACCAGGUGAAGGGAAGUCCGUGUGCUCCAGUCAAGUUAUGGAGUACUAACGCGUUAAAUCGCUACAGAGUCUUGAAGACUCAAGUCCCUUUAUGUCACACUUUUCAGUUAUUCUGUAAUCUGUAUUCCAUGUACCAUUUACAUAAACU